rnacentral:rRNA from 1 species
GUCCACGCGGUAAACGAUGGAUACUAGGUGUAGGUGGUAUCGACCCCACCUGUGCCGCAGCUAACGCGUUAAGUAUCCCGCCUGGGGAGUACGGCCGCAAGGUUGAAACUCAAAGGAAUUGACGGGGCCCGCACAAGCGGUGGAGUAUGUGGUUUAAUUCGACGCAACGCGAAGAACCUUACCAGGGCUUGACAUCUGGCGAAAGCCUUUGAAAGAAGGCCGUGCCCCGCAAGGGGAGCGCCAAGACAGGUGGUGCAUGGCUGUCGU